CAUCCUUCUCACAGAUCAUGUAUUCACUCCCACCCUGAGGAGGGAAAGGAGUCACAGACACAAACCACCAUGCUGCUUAGGCUUGCAAGAUCAUUUACAUGAAAUCCAACAAAUACGGCCUUCAUUCUUCAUUCCACCAAACCGACACGCACCCAAGCCGAAUCUUAACAGAGGAGUGAAUAAACAUCAGAUGGUAGGAAUUCUCAGAAAUAAGCACUGCACUCUACCUACUCCAGUGACACACUGCCACAGCUGAGUUGUGUAAUUACAGCUCAUCACAAAUUUAAGCUUCUCCGUGACAAAAUUCGGAACAGUACUUAGUGAAACGAUCGUGUUACCUAACUGCAAAGCCAUAAGGUAGAUGCAAUGGCAGAUCCUCAGUCACUCCCCUUGUUAGAAAGGCUUUGCGUGCAAAGCUGUUCUGCAGUUAUCUUUUCACCAAUUUCACCGGUCACUCCUCCUAAGGCUGGCUACCUCACAUUUCUCGUCUGGUUGUUUCUAUGCUAUUAGUAUUGUUUUACUGGUUACGAAUUAUUUUCUCCCUUAGUUGGUAGCACUUUUAGCUCCUUUUAAAAAAAUCAGUCUUCUCUGCCCCCCAUAAUUGUCUUCAAAAUAAUGGAUUUUUUUCCUCAAUGAGUUUAUCUUGUCAUAUUUAAGAUCUUAGUAUUUCUAAAUUGAUAGUAGCUUAAUAAUUUACAAUUCACUUAGGAACUUCUCUGGCUGUUGCUGUAUAAAUGGGCCACAGAUCAGCAAUCCAGACGGAUACACUUCCCUUCCAACUAGAGACAGGCUGGCACACAGGUGUGACUCAUACAGGAGUCAUGCUGUACCAAGACCAAAUGCCCCGACCGCAAAAUCAGAGAUGCUUUCAAACAUUAAGCCAUGGGCUUCAAGGCCCUGAAGCAUGAACUUGCUUUCCACCUGCUCCUCUCAGGAAAGCCUCAAACACAGAAGGCAGCAGAGGCAGAGGCCCUGAAGAGGAGAAUGAAGGUGGAGAGUG
rnacentral:lncRNA from 1 species